GACGAACGCUGGCGGCGUGCUUAACACAUGCAAGUCGAGCGGUAAGGCCCUUCGGGGUACGACGAGCGGCGAACGGGUGAGUAACACGUGGGUGACCUGCCUCUAGCUCUGGGAUAAGCCUGGGAAACUGGGUCUAAUACCGGAUAUGACUCCACGGCGCAUGUUGUGGGGUGGAAAGCCUUGUGUGGCUAGAGAUGGGCCCGCGGCCUAUCAGCUUGUUGGUGGGGUGAUGGCCUACCAAGGCGACGACGGGUAGCCGGCCUGAGAGGGCGACCGGCCACACUGGGACUGAGACACGGCCCAGACUCCUACGGGAGGCAGCAGUGGAGAAUCUUGCGCAAUGGGCGAAAGCCUGACGCAGCGACGCCGCGUGAGGGAUGACGG
rnacentral:rRNA from 1 species